CAUUUGGAUCUGAAAAGAUUACCGGAACCUAUGGUAGACAGGGAAUAUAAAAAGAACCGGCGACCCUUAAUAUGCUAACACAUGCAAAACGUUAGCGAGGCAUAAAGCAAAGCAACACUUACGAGACGAGACACGCAGCAAUUUCUUCUUUGAACCACGAGUAUGGACAAGAAAGAAGUUAGAGAGUCACUGGGCACGAGUCACCAUUUCCGUCCAUGACAAGAAUCCCCAACCUGUAGUAGGGAACGCCACCCAAAACUAAUUGGUGGAAUAAUAUGAAGAAAACACAGCCACUGCAGAUUACUCGACAGCGUUCUUCAACGUCAGAGAGUACAUCAUCUCCUGUAGGGUCGCCACUGGCUUCUCCUCCAAUAUCCUCAGACUUUACAAGACAACUAUCCAGGUCCUACUCCUCUGAUGAGCACAAGGACAGCAUUCUUACGUAGAAGAUUGAAUUCUUCUCCAUGACAAGUCUUUCGUCGUUUAAAGUUUGAUAAUUAAAUGUUGUUUUAAUUAAUAUCACCCCAAGUACGAACAGACAUUGCAGAAGCAGUUGAAUUUGUAACUUACAAAGUAGUGAUGAAAAUACUGUAUGGGAUCAAAAUUCACUAACUGCCAUUUGUGAGUAUCAUUUAUAUGAUGUACAUUCGCUUGA
rnacentral:lncRNA from 1 species